GGUUUUUUGAGAAUAAUUUAAAAUUUAACCUGCCCACUGAAAUUUUAAAUGGCUGCGGUAUUUUGACCGUACAAAGGUAGCAUAAUAAUUAGUUUUUUAAUUGAAAGCUAGAAUGAAUGGUUGGAUGAAAAAAUAACUGUUUCAAAUUUAAUUAAGUAGAAUUUUAGCUUUAAGUUAAAAAGCUUAAAUAUUUUAAAAAGACGAGAAGACCCUAUAGAGUUUAAUAAAAUUUAGUUUAUUGUUUUAUUAGAAAUUUAAAAUAUUACUUUAAAUUUUAUUUGAUUGGGGUGAUUGAAAAAUUUAAAUAACUUUUUUAAAAAUUAAACAUUAAUUUAUGAAAAUUUGAUCCUAAGAUUUUGAUUAUUAGAUAAAAUUACCUUAGGGAUAACAGCGUAAUUUUUUUUGAGAGUUCAAAUUGAAAAAAAAGAUUGCGACCUCGAUGUUGGAUUAAAAUAAAGUUUUGGUGUAGAGGCUAAAAUAUUGGGUCUGUUCGACCCUUAAAAUUUUACA
rnacentral:rRNA from 1 species